AGUGAACGCUGGCGGUAGGCCUAACACAUGCAAGUCGAACGGCAGCACAGUAAGAGCUUGCUCUUACGGGUGGCGAGUGGCGGACGGGUGAGGAAUACAUCGGAAUCUACUUUUUCGUGGGGGAUAACGUAGGGAAACUUACGCUAAUACCGCAUACGACCUACGGGUGAAAGCAGGGGAUCUUCGGACCUUGCGCGAUUGAAUGAGCCGAUGUCGGAUUAGCUAGUUGGCGGGGUAAAGGCCCACCAAGGCGACGAUCCGUAGCUGGUCUGAGGGGAUGAUCAGCCACACUGGAACUGAGACACGGUCCGGACUCCUACGGGAGGCAGCAGUGGGGAAUAUUGGACAAUGGGCGCAAGCCUGAUCCAGCCAUACCGCGUGGGUGAAGAAGGCCUUCGGGUUGUAAAGCCCUUUUGUUGGGAAAGAAAAGCAGCAGGUUAAUACCCCGCUGUUCUGACGGUACCCAAAGAAUAAGCACCGGCUAACUUCGUG
rnacentral:rRNA from 1 species